rnacentral:rRNA from 1 species
AGCAGCCGCGGUAAUUCCAGCUCCAAUAGCGUAUAUUAAAGUUGUUGCAGUUAAAAAGCUCGUAGUUGAAUUUCGGGAUCAGUGGGUCGGUCGUGCCACUGGUAUGCACUGGCUCUACUGGUUCCUCCUUCUUGAAGAACUGUAAUGCCAUUAAUUUGGUGUUGCAGGGAAACAGGACUGUUACUUUGAAAAAUUAGAGUGUUUAAAGCAGGCAAUCGCUUGAAUACAUUAGCAUGGAAUAAUGAAAUAGGACGUUCGAUCCUAUUUUGUUGGUUUCUAGGAUUGACGUAAUGAUUAAUAGGGAUAGUUGGGGCAUUAGUAUUCAAUUGUCAGAGGUGAAAUUCUUGGAUUUAUUGAAGACUAACUACUGCGAAAGCAUUUGCCAAGGAUGUUUUCAUUAAUCAAGACGAAAGUUAGGGAUCGAAGACGAUCAGAUACCGUCGUAGU